UCUUGGCCGGGCAAAGAAGCGGCAGCCCGCAGCCGUCGGCGUGCUGCAUCGCCCCGGCUGUGCGGCAAGGCGGCAUCAGGCUCAGUGCCAUAGCUUGGAACAGCCGGUUUAGCCCUCGGGGCAGCCGCUCCUCGCAGUGAGACGGAUGUUGGAAGGGGAACAUCACAGGUAAUAACGUCACCAAAAUGUCUUUGUCACCAAGCCACCAGGACGAGGCAAAAUACAGCUAUUUCAACAUGACCUGCAAAUAGUUGGCAUCUCAGAAACCUGCAGCAACACCCAGGCACUUUACAGUUGGGGCCAUGGUCUUGGCAAAAGGAGUAGCCAGCAGGAGUCUGUCUGGAGGCCAUCACCACCUGCCCUAGUUCCAGUGAGGAGUACAAGGCUGGGAGGCUGAAAAUUCCAUUUCAGGCCAACACCAACAUUUUCUUCUGUGAAUACCUUGACUCCUGCUCUCCUUUGGGAGCUUCUUGCCACUGCCUGCCACACAGCAGGUGCCCAGUGCCCUGGCACCACAGAGCAUCCCACUGAGCUGGGCUGUUGGCCAUGGCUGACCCCUCUGCAGCUGCUCUGGUUGUGAAAGCAAUCCCCUUCCAGGGCUGCCAACAGCAAGGGCCAAGCAUGCCUGCAUGCCUGGAGAAGCGGGCCAGCGGAGCUGGAGGACAGGCUGUGCAGCAAGAUCCCUCUUCCACAACUCAGACUGCGGUGCAUUUGGGUGAUCCCAGAUUGUCCAGAUACCUCGCAUGGGGUGAUGCAGGCCUUGGAGAGAACCACCUGUCCAGGAACAGCCCAGUGUGCCUCUCCAUACAGGUGAGGAGCAGAGAGAAAACUAACCCCCAAACUUUUCUUUAUGGGGGGAGACCCAGUCCUGCCGUCUGCCAUCAGGAUUUGGGCCAAAGUGUUUGAUAAAGAGGGAGACCAUCUGGAUUGUCUGAUGGGCUCUGGG